CGGCUGCUUCAGACAUCACAGAAGUCUGACAUCCCUGGGCUGGUUCAGGUCUUCAGAUGCUCCCACCGAGUAGCAGCAGAGUGGCAUUCUAACACCGACUCACGAAAACACAGACUUCUGCUGAGACGAGCGGGUCGCACAAGGAGGGAGAUGAAAACAAGCAGCAACGAGAAAAAUGGCUGCAAAGCAACAGACAAGGAAACGCUAAGAGUGAACAAAUGAAGGUCACAUCUUGAGUCUCCAGAUUCUCCUCAGCAACAUGCAUGACCUCUUCAUCAGUCUGAAAAUGGUGACCUCUGGAUGGUGAUUUCAGUUUGGGAAACAGUCGCUGCAGGUCAGCCCCUGAAGUCAUCGGAGCUUUGGGCACUCGGCCAGGACAGGAUUUAAAUCUGCCCAUUCUCCUCCUGAGGAAGCCGUCUUCACGAUCUGCCCUGCAGCCGAACAUGGGGGGCAAUAAGUGGUGCAGAGGGGAUGACAAACGACAAUGAGUCAGGAAAUUACUUUGUGUACAGCCGGUAUUAUUCAUAAAGCACUUAAAUUGCUUGAAUAUUCAUAUAUCUGCUGCUAAAUCUGCAGCUCGGGAGCUUUUAAGGGCCUCCGAAUGUACGGAGCGGAGGAAGCACUGGAGAUGUUCUGGAAUAAACAAAACAUUACUGCAGAGCUGCUGCGAGUCGACGCAUUUUCAUGAGAUCGUUACAGAUAAACUGCCACUUAGUUAAAGAUGCAUUCCUCAGUAUUCUCACAAACACUGCGGCUGCAAAGA